CUCUUCUGUGGACAUCUUUUGGACGGUAUCGGGAACCGAUCGGCGGUUUCCCAGAUCCGUAUCCUGGUUUUCCAGUCACGAUAAACCGGUUUGCUUGCUCCCUGAAGCGUCGCUCUUCGAUCGAUUCAAUCUGGUUCGCAACUGAUGGUGUGUAAUCAAGUAGCUUCAGGUCUUAGGGAUUUACUUCUCCUACUUUUACGCGUUAGGGUUAGGAUGUUGCGGUUGUCCAGCGUCCGGAAGUGACAAAGAACGUUUUAUGGACACGGGUAUGUUACGAUUUAGUCGAAAAUGGUAGAUCUGCGAUCGCGGUGCCAAUGGUUACAGAGCAGAGUGUUGCUUGGUUCAUCCGUUCUAUCGUUUCUGGAGUGUCUUGGAGCUUCGUUCCCUUUCCUAUGGUUUUGUUCUGUACUAUGAGUUCUACUUCUCCCCUUUUUCUUUAUGGUUCCGUGAGUUGUGGUAAGAUUGGAAAAAGGCUAGUGGUUUUACCAUCGAAUCAUUUUUGCUAAGUAAUUUUAGAUUAGCAGAAUAUCCUUCUUCCAAAAAUUGAUGUUUCUAUUGUAGUUUGCUACUAUUGGAAUGCAGACUUGGGGUGUGUUUGCACAUGCAUGAGAAUAUUUGAUAACUUCUAUAGGAUCGGCUCCUCAAAAUAUAGUGAGUCCAUGUAAAUCAAAGUAAUAUCUCUCAUGCUGCACUUCUAUCAAAAAACAGUGCUGGUACCCUGUUUUCAUCAUGAACAGAUCUUGGCAGGCCCUUAUCACUUGUUUUUUCAAUUAGGAAAAACCAUUCUUAUACAUUAACAGUGAGUUGGUAGUUGGAACACUUUGCUCAAUAUCUUUCUCUCCACUUUUUUCCUUUUACUUUUUACAUUUCUUAUGGGUGAAAAAAGAAUAAUUCUUUAACUUUUUCAGCAAAGUGUAUACCUUUUGGUUCUUUGGAUUCAAUUCUCCAAUGAUCUCCGGCAUCAAAGGAGUUACCUCAUAGUUUGUGUAAUAAUUAUUACUGUUAUUUUCACGCAAAUGUCAUUACUAAUAUUAUAUAGGCAACAUAGGUAUUUUUUAUUUGUACAAUUUAUAGAGCUUGAUCUAGUCGUGCGUAAUCUCAAGAAAUUUGUGAUCUGAUCCUGGCAACAUUUAUUGUCAUUAAAAUCAACAUUCUUUUCUUUGUCCUGAUUCAUUGAUGCUUUGUGCUUUAUAUAUUAUGAUAGAUUAAUUGACUAUUAUUGAGAAAGUGCAAUAUGGAAGUCUCUCAUUAGUUUACGGCAGUUUUGUUUUACUACAUCAUUGUUCAUCUUAUCCGUGCUACUCCAGAUUAAGAAGGCCCUGAGAGGAAUGAAAGUUGAGGUCACUCAUCGUGGUAAUAUGCAUAGAAAAUAUCACAUAUCUGGUUUAACAUCACAGGCAACUAGGGGACUCGCUUUCCCAGUUGAUGAAAGAGGUACAUUCAAGUCCGUCAUGCAAUAUUUUCAAGAGAUGUAUGGUUUUACCAUCCAAAACACCUUGCUUGCAAGUUGGAAACCCACAGAGACCAAAUUAUCUACCUACGGAGGUCUGAAAAGAUUGUGGAAGGGCAGAGAUAUUCUAAGAGGUUGAAUGAAAGACAAAUUGCUGCUCUUUUUAAAGUAACUUGCCAACAUUCUCAUGAUCGGGAGCUUGACAUCAUACAGACCGUUGAUCACAAUGCAUACAGUGAAGACCCUUGUGCCAAAGAAUUUGGCAUCAAGAUCAGUGAGAAACUUGCAUUAGCUUAACUGCCAUGACACUGGUAGAGAGAAGGAUUUCUUGCCAAGAGUUGGCCAAAGGAAUAUGAUGAAUAAGAAAAUGGUGAAUGGUGGGAGAGUGACCAAUUGGACAUGUAUCAAUUUUGCACAGAAUGUUCAAGAGAGUCUUGCUUGUGGAUUUUUGUCAUGAGCCUGCUCUGAUGUGCCAGAUAUCUGGAAUGAUUUUUUCACCGGAACCUGUUCUUUGUCUGUUAUGUGCUCGCGCUGAUCAAGUGAAGAGAGCUUUGAAAGCACACUUUCAUGAUGCAAUAAUGAGCAUACUCUAGCCCCAUGGCAAAGAGCUUGAUUUGGUUAUUAUAGUAUUGCCUGAUAAUAAUGGUCCCCUUUAUGGUGAUGUAAAACGGAUAUGUGAGACAGAUAUUGGUUUAGUUUCACAGUGUUGUUUGGCUAAGCAUGUUUUCCGGAUGAGCAAGCAGUAUCUGGCAGAUGUUGCUCUGAAAAUAAAUGUAAAGGUGGGUAUCUGGAUGCAUGUUAUCUGUUCCCUUUUUUGAUGAAGAGUAUUUUGAUGGAUAGGUUGGAGGUAGAAACACAGUUUUUGUGGAUGCCUUGUCAAGACACAUACCUCUUGUUAGUGACCUCCCUACCAUAAAUAUUUGGUGCUGAUGUUACACAUCCUCAUCCCGGAGAAGAUUUCAGCCUUCUAUUGCAGUUGUAGUUGCUUCUCGAGAUUGGCCAGAGGUGACAAAGUAUGCGGGACUGGUUUGUGCUCAGCCCCAUCGCCAAGAAUUGAUUCAAGAUCUGUUCAAAGUCUGGCAAGAUCCUUGGAUAACUUGUUAACAGCCGCUUCUUCAUAUAGGAUUAGUUGAUUGUGUUUUUUCCAAAUUGGUGUUAUGCUAAGAGAAAAUGAUCUGAUAACCAUGGAAUUUGCUGGGUGCUUCUUAUUUCCUUUAAAAGAGCUACUGGACAAAAGCCUCAGCGAAUUAUAUUCUACAGGGAUGGAGUGAGUGAGGGACAAUUUUAUCAAGUUUUACUUUAUGAACUCGAUGCAAUCAGAAAAGCAUGUGCCUCUCUAGAAUGGAAUUAUCAGCCACCGGUGACAUUUGUGGUCGUCUAAAAACAUCUAGGCUGUUUGCAAACAAUUAUAAUGAUCACUAUUCGGUUGAUAAGAGUGGAAACGUUUUACCCGGACUGUUGUUGAUUCUAAGAUCUGCCACCCUACCGAGUUUGACUUCUACCUGUCCAGCCAUGCCUGCAUCCAACCGACCUGCGCACUACCAUGUCUUGUGGGACGAGAACAAUUUCACAGCAAAUGCUCUUCGAAUGGUCACAAACAAUCUUUGUUACUCCUAUGCACGGUGCACACGCUCUGUAUCGAUCUCUUCGCACCCAUCAUUAUCUUUUACCUCGUGACGGGUAUGCUGUUCUUCUUUUUUUGGUUAGACUUAUCCUAGUGUGUUAUCUCGAACCGUGCCGCCUGCUGCAUUCUGUGCCCGGGUUUACAUGGAGCAGGAGACGUCGGUUCAAUGGCAAGCAAGCAGAGCGGCCGGACAAGGAGCCUGUGCUGGUGGACCACACAGCACGAGGUUUCCCGGUAGCGCUGCCAUCAAGCCUCUCCCGGCGGCGUAGAAGGAGAGGAGAAGAAUGUCGUGUAUUACUGUUAAGAAAUACAGUCGUAUCAUCUUGUUACAGAUUUAUAUGUGCCUUUGAUGCACCAUGAUGUCUUAAUCUCAGGAUCAUUCUGAAAUCUUGUGCAGACAUGAAUUUGCAUUCCUUGGCAUAUUUCUCUCAAGGAUAAAUGGGCUGAUUCAUGGCCCAAAAACAUUGAUCCAACUCUUUUUUCGUUUUACUUGUC